rnacentral:rRNA from 1 species
CCUACGGGUGACAGCAGUAGGGAAUCUUGCACAAUGGGCGAAAGCCUGAUGCAGCAACGCCGCGUGGGUGAAGAAGGUCUUCGGAUCGUAAAACCCUGUUGUUAGAGAAGAAAGUGCGUGAGAGUAACUGUUCACGUUUCGACGGUAUCUAACCAGAAAGCGACGGCUAACUACGUGCCAGCAGCCGCGGUAAUACGUAGGUGGCAAGCGUUAUCCGGAGUUAUUGGGCGUAAAGGGAACGCAGGCGGUCUUUUAAGCCUGAUGUGAAAGCCUUCGGCUUAACCGGAGUAGUGCAUUGGAAACUGGGAGACUUGAGUGCAGAAGAGGAGAGUGGAACUCCAUGUGUAGCGGUGAAAUGCGUAGAUAUAUGGAAGAACACCAGUGGCGAAAGCGGCUUUCUGGUCUGUAACUGACGCUGAGGUUCGAAAGCGUGGGUAGCAAACAGGAUUAGAUACCCGAGUAGUC